rnacentral:tRNA from 1 species
GGGCGACUAGCUCAGCUGGUUAGAGCACCUCGUUUACACCGAGGGGGUCUGCGGUUCGAAUCCGUAGUCGCCUACCA